GCAAGAAUUUGUUUUAGAACUGCAUUUGGUAGGCUAUCCCAUAUUUGGACAGAUCUGUAUGUAUCUUUAGGAGCGUUUGAUUCUCUUUAUUAGCAGAUACCUACAUGGGGUUGAAGAUAAGAUUAUGGAUUGCACUCAUGUGACUUAGGCAUUGGUUAUACAUGCUGUCCAAGCUGCUGCAUAUUUGGGUCGACAACACAUGAUCCCCAAAUUAUCAAUUUGAUAUCACUUUGUUAGCUUUGUGUUGAAGAAUCUUGAGAUUUAAAGCUGGCGCGCUAUUGUAUACCUUAUUUUCUGCGAGUACUGAAGUAUUGAUAAAUGCCUUGGUUCGUUCGAAGGGUAUUUUUCAACACAAUUUUCUCAGUUUAUGAUUUAUAUUAGUUUACUUUGGUAAAUACAGUGGAUAAGAAAGUUUCCCAAAUACAGGUUAGGUGAGCGAAAAAAAAAGAAAAAAAAGGGGGAGACCUCACACAGAAACGAAAGUUACAUAAACGCAGCAGGAAAAGUAAUGACACAUGACCUAAGACCUAAACGGCUCGAUCAAGGCAGCAAGGCCUUCAGCCCUUCUGCUCCUGCAAUGCACCGUAGGCUAGCCUUGUCUAAUAUCUCAGCAGGGCAAGUUGCACACUUGGAGAGGCUCCAUUAAAGAAACAGUUGUUACAGUGUUUUCAAAUCCACCAAAAUCCUAGGAUCACUAGUGAAUUGAAAACUUUCUGUCUCAGGUUUGUCCAGGGCCCUUUCUGCCUCUCGCCACCACACUUUGAACUCAUCAUCUUGCUCAGCAAGAACUCCAAAAGUCCUGCUUUCUGAAGCCGUGUGAUUGUGUCAACCACACCUGUCUUGUGAACACACAGCCAGCCAGAAGGAAAGUAAUCAUUUCUUCUUCUUGGUCACAUAACGGGCACAACUGGGGGUGUGGCAACCCGAGACAUGCCAAUCUAUCUGCCGUGCAGCACCUAUUAUGGAUGGCAAGCCAUAUGAAAAUUUGGAACAUGGAGAAGUCCAUGACUUCCCUAUGCUCUCCAGGGCUCAAACUUCACGUUUCCGACAAAGAACAUCUUAUAUGCCAACUUUGUGGAAAAGUCACCAGAUGCUUCAGCUAAAAUACUGUGGGAAUUAUAUUCUACCUAGUGUCUUAAAUCUUAAGGAACAAGUUUUGUUCAAAUGGUUAAUUUGGCAAGUUAUCUUUUUAGCAAUAGCUUGCCAGUUCUCUAUACUUUUUAGCAAUAGCUUGCCAGUUCUCUAUAUAUGAUAUAGUUUGUUAUGUAUACAGCCCAUAUGCCAAUAAUGUUUCUUAGUCAUAUCCAUUUGAAACAGGUUUUGUGAUCUCAAUUGUGUGUUUUGAAACUUUUUUGCAUGAUUAUAAAGUCUUAUAAUAUAGCUGGGUUAAUAUGCUGUUUGCUCCCUUCCUAAUUGUUGCAGAUUGCUACAUUAACAAAGAAGAACAACAUAUUGGCCCAGAAGUACAAAGAGCAUGUUAAUGUUAGCGCGCAAGUGAGUAAAAAGGCUACUGCCAAACAAACUGAACUUCAGUCCCCUGAAAAAGCUGAGGAAAUAUUUCCAGAUUCUUCAUCAUCACAAACUGAGGUGACUUAUUGUUAUGUCUCAUAUCUUGUUCCGAGUAGAGCACAAAUGCAGAUAAAAACUGUUGUAACUAAAAUUCAUUGGAUUGGGUUUGGCUUGAGUUCGAGUACAUCUGAAGCAGAGUUGGGAUUUGGCUAUCUAGAUAUGCUUCCUUAGUACUUGUUCUGGGCAAAGUCACACUGUUAUUUACAGAAUGCAGGCAGUUAAAUUUCUUUUUACUCUUAACAGCUGAAGUCUUGGUUUAAAUCUAUAUUUACUGCAUGCAUCAAAUGUUCUUUAACAUUUACUCUGUGGUAAACCAACAUGGAGAUUUGCAACCUUUUCUUUUUCUGUCUUAUAUCUGUUCCAAUAUGUAUAUAAUUGUAGUAGUUCAAAAACACUCUUUUUUUCCUUUUGAGACAUAUGCCGUUGCUUCCAGACUGAUUAGUUGUUUGCAGUUUGUCCUUCAGAAGAAAUCAGAUGUAUUUGAAAUGAGUUGUUCUUGUAUUCUUCUUACCAUCAGUACCUUGCAUCAUAUUAUACAUGCAUUAUACAUCUGAUUUUCUGAAUGUAAAGCAUUAGUCUUAGGAAAGAGUCACGUGUAUUGCGUUGGUAAAUGAAGCUUUGACUUGCCAACACAUGCGCAUUUUGGAUCCCUUAUGCCACUUCUUGCAUUGUAGCUUUUUGCAUUUGGUUGGACUAGAGAGUUGUUUGAACUCUUCGCACAUGUCAAGAACAUAACUUGUUUCCAUGUUGUAUCUAGGCGGAGAAACCAGCAGAUCUUCUCUACAAGGAUGAAGUUAAGGCGCACACUUCAGCAGAGCAUGUCUCCACUUCGGAGGAUGACUACUCUUUGGAUGACACUCACGAGACAGUGCGAACCAUAGAGCCAUCACUACUGAACCGGAAAUAUAUUUUUGUGUCAUUUCUAGUCUUGUUGGCUGCUGCUGUUGUAUUCAUGCUCCACGAAGAUGGCAGCCCAGCAUGAUCGUCUGGUUUUGUGCUGACAGAACCUGUAGUGCGAAAUAAAUAGUUAGCUCCUUGGUGUACAAUUGUUUACAUGUCAUCUCUGCUCCCUUUUCGUUCGUCUUUGUACUUUGUAUCCGCUGAAUGUGCAAUUUUGUUUGUUGUAUAUGUAGAGUUGUGCUGGUGCCUUUCAUUUUUACUGCUUCAGUGGAGAGAAAAAAAAAGUUAGUGACGAGGUAUGUUUUGUAACUUACUGGCCUGGAAUUUACUCCUUGCCUAACAGAGAAUGUAUUAGUCAUUCUCCUACUGGAGUAAUUACUGCUGGUAGCCUGGCACUUCCGGAGUGUAAACACUGGAUCUAAAUUGUUUGAUUAUCUUCCGUGGGAACUAUAUUAUUCCGUUGUACAACACAUUUUCAUCGUGCUGCAUCUUCUAAUUUCAGUUUAGCCGUGAGUCUGUACAAAAUCUUUUCCUUCUAAUUUCAGUUUAGGCGUGGGUGGUGAGUCUGUACAAAUUUUUUUUCCUGGAUAUGGUCGCUGACCACUAGUUCCCGUUUUCUCAGACAAGAUAAAUGCUGGUGGCAAAUGUGAUCAUUGAAAUGAAGCUCACAGGCUAGGCAACUGAACUCUGUUGUAGUCAUGAGCCAGAAAAGGCGUAGGGAAUUCAUAUGUUCCACAACACGUGGCAGCCCUUGAAUAGUUGAUUCUGCAAAUAAAAAUACAGUUCCACAGAGCUUCUUGGGAAAAAAAAAACCUCAAAAGUCUUGUGAGGGUCUUCGAAAGGUGUACGUUCUGUUAAAAAUUUAAGCUGCCCGGCGAACUAGCAACAAUAGGUUAAAUUGAGGCAGUCCGUUUUCAAAGCUGCUGGCGACUCUGAUUUGAAUUUCUUAUAAACACUGCCAGCUCGCUGGAAUUAAAGGUAAAUUAAAGCCUCAGCAUGGCGGUUCGCAAUCCGUAUGACUCGAAAAAAUAAAGCAAAAAAAGGAGCAUAAAAACAAGGUUCCACCGAGAUUUGAACUCGGGUUACUGGAUUCAGAGUCCAAUGUCCUAACCGCUAGACCAUGGAACCAAUUUGCUUGCUUUUCCAUUUCAAAUUAUAUUCAUACGAGAAAGAGAACUCGCCCCUCACCACAACGAAGCAUAUCCCUGAAUUAGCAACAACAAAUAAGAGUAUUGAUUAGGAGAGGAUCCGGAAGGGUAACACUGGAUUUCUUCUGUUGGAUCAGCUGCAAGAUAGUGCAGGCUAACACUGGAUCAACCAGUUCAGUCAAGCACGCGAUCAAUAUCAUGUAGCCACGCAGAUACUGUAUUGGUGAAGACAGCUUUGUUUCUUGUAAUUUCAGUUCAUAUAAGAUGUUAGCAAGGGCACAUGAAUGACAAAGAAAUGAUGGAAAGUGAUAGGAACAAGAAACGUCAGGAAAGGAGACAGUCACAUGUUUUGGCUUGAGCACCAUGCGUUGCAGCGUAACACGUGGUCCUAUCGCAAAAGGAAGUCGAUGAAGAACCUACUCCAAUCCUAUAUAUGUGUAUAACCAGAUUUUUUGCUAUCCCCUCCCAUCAAAUCACUAGUGAGUGAAAGAGGUUAAGUACUUAUUUUCAAAAGAAAAAAAAACCACAACGUAAUCGAGCGUCAACAAAAUAGAAUAUUUUCAUCCUGAUAAUUUGGAUAUAGUAAUAAUAACUCUGUUUCAGAUACAUAGAUGGUGCCAUAGUAUAGUAGUGAUAUAAUGAUAAACGAAAAUGAAAACGAGACAAAAAAAAAUAGUCUGCCCUCAUAAAGAACACCCUUUUUCUCAUCUCAUCUCAUCUCUUUAGAUAUCAUCCUGGAUGCUUAAGAGUAGAGCUUGAAGCUCUUGGCGUCAAGGAUGAUCUGCCGCAGGCCUCCAAUGGGGGAGAUGAGCGUCAGCACCACUCCUAUCACGAUACAGAUCUGAUAGAUCAAACAAAAACACGGCGAUUCAGAACAGUAAGAACACGGGCAGAUCUACGACUCGAAUCCAUCAGCAAUCAAAGGCCAAUCGAUCAGUGUGACCGAAAUUCAACUUACAAUGUUGAUGCUCCAUGAGAGGCCGUACUUCUUUGGCUUGCGCAGCAUGAGCCAGAUGAUGCAAGGGAUCUGCACAUACACCCAUCAUGAAACCAGAUCGAUCAGUAAACCAUUCAGGGGAAGAGUGAAAUAUUGAAGCUCAGGGUCCUACGUAGUAUGUCGUUGGAGCAAAUCCGAAGCCGCCGAAGAAGCCGAGAAGGCCGUCGAAGAAGGGGAAGGUCAUGCCGACGAACAUCGUCGCCGCUUCAUACACGCGUUUGAUCAUUAUCAAGUAGUUAUGAUCGAAACUUGUCAGUGAGAUCAUGAGGUGUUUGUUCAAGAAUCAAGAACGACGACUCACCGACAUAGGCGGAGCGGGCGAUCAAUCGCAGCCGAACCCCCGGGGUGAACUUGUGCUUCUUGACGAGCAAGGUCUCGAUCAUGUCGAACACCGGCAUGGCGUACACCUGGUAGCUGCCGACGACGUGGACGACGACCAUGAGGUUGGCGGCGGCGAUAAGCCACCGCGGCCUCUCUAGGGAGAUGAGCACGUUUGGCUCCACCAAGCUUCCGAAGGCGUAGUACCCGCCGAAGGCGACGCAGAAGUAGCAGAGCGCGACGAUGGCGUAGGCCACCACAACGCCGCGCCACAUGGGCCUCUUGGACGGCGUCUCCGGCGUCGACGGGAUGGUGGCCUGGAUCUCCAGCACCACGUUGUGCCCCGCGUACGCAAACGCCACGGCGCCCAGCGCGUUGAGCACACCGAACGCGCGCCCCGUCGCGGUGGACGCCCUGAGCCCGUAGUCGGCGGCGGCCGCGGCGUGGGCGCCCUUCACCGCCGACGCGAAGAAGGCGAUCAUGGAGUAGGUGAGCGACAUGACGGCUGCGGCGGCGGAGACGGCGGAGAUGGAGUUGAAGUUGGGGAACUGGGAGAGCGGGAAGUGGACGGAGCCGAAGAUCAUGAUCCAGAAGGUGAGGCGGAUGUCCCUGCAGCGGCCCUGGCAGACGAGGUCGUGGAACUUGCGGAGGCACUGCCCGCCGGUGACCAUGUAGACGAUGUCGGUGCCGACCUCGACGAUGAGCUGCUGCGGCACGAUGAUCCAGAGACCCAGCCGCUGGCCGAACGCGUGCUGCCCGAGCUCGUGGUACCGGUCGAAGCGCUUGCCCGGGACCAUCUCGUGCAUCUCCACCAUCUGCCAGAGGGUGUAGAGGGUGAUCACGAACGACAUCACGAUCACCACCGUGCCGAGGCCCCUGCAUCAUCAAACCAAUCGGCAAUCGAUCGAUGCCCAUCGUCAUUUCUCAUCGGACAUGUCGAACAGCAGAUCGAAGAAGAAAUUAAAAGGCGUCAUCAUCAGGGGCAAGGUUCGUCGCCUACCAUCCGAGCUGCGACAUGGCGAACGGGAGGCCGAGCACGCCAGCGCCGACCAUGGCGGUGACGUUGUGGAAGGCCGAGUAGUACCACUUGGCCGUGCGCGACGAGGUGAUGGGCAGCCAGUCGUCGAGGUUCUUGAGCUUCUCCUCCUGCCUCCUCUCCUUGGCCGUCUCCGCGUACUGGUCCAUCACGUCCGGCGGCGACGGCGUCCCCAUCUCCGUUUCCGCCUUCCUCUUCGCCGGGAUGAAGCCGGGUCGCGUCGCGGCCGCGCGGCGGCGCCGGUGCGCGCGUCGACGGUGACGAUCGCCGUGCUGGGCUCGGCGCGUGCCACUGCUCGAUCGGUGCGAUGAAUGCGUCACGGCUAUUGACUGAACUAGUGUGGAAUGCAGGUAGGCGCCGCGCGGUUUUAUGGGGGGAUCCGGCGCGAGGUCAGUUUCGUCAGGCCGCUCGGCCUCGUAAAAGAUUCCGGAGAUUCCAUUAGUUCAAUUGCAGAAAGUCAUCCCUCAAAACAAAAAAAGGAAAAAACAAAAUAAGAGAAAUUAAUGUCAGCAGAUUCUGGCCAGCCCACUACUGUAGUAAUUAAUUAUUAUGGUAAAUUACACCGCUUAAUAAGAUGCUAAAAUUGCUUAAAUGCACAGUAAAAAAAUGAGUUGGUAAGUGGUUAUGUGAAAUUGACGCAAUCUUCAUUGUUUCUUCUGGUUAAAUUAGGUUCAUACCCGAAUGUUGCUACGGGUGAAAUAAAUUUUUUAUAUGAGCAACACGAAAUACCUGUAACGUAAAUAGCAAUAGAUGCACACUUUAUCUUAAACAAUAUUCAUGCUCUGUGUAAUGAGCCUACUAUGCAAAUAAAUUAUUGGGGAUGUGUGAACAUAACAUAUCAUCGUAAACGUAAAGUAUUUUAUUUUCUGUCAAAUACAUCAGACGUGACCAAGCUACGAGCUGCAAUCUUUAGUUAUGGAUUAAGACUAGGUUCAUACCCGUGCAUUGCUACGGAUGAAAUAAGUUUCUUAUAUGAGCAACAAUUUUCAUGCUACGAAGUACCUGUAACUUGUAACGUAAAUAACAAUAGAUACACACUUUAUCUUAAAUAAUAUUCAUGCUCUGUGUACAUGAGCCUACUAUGCAAAUGAAUUAUUGGAGGUGUGUGAACAUAACAUAACUCAGCGAUGGGUGUCAACCACGCCUCCUCGCCACCACCUCCUUAUGGUUGAGUAUGCAGUAUCUUCAAACCAUUUUUUUAAGAAAUGCGAAAAUAGAACAUCAGAUUCGGAUAAAUAAUCAAUCGGAAUAUUUGCUACCACCAAAAUUCUUAUAUAUAGAUCCAUUUAGUUUUGCACCAAAUAAAGUCCAUAGAAAACAGUGCUCCAUAUAUUUCAAUUGAGAUGGAAGGAACAUGUGUGCUUCGAUAACAAUGACAACAAUUUUAGCCAAACUUUAUUCCCUUACACCUACUUCCUUGACGCCCACGUGGUACUUUGAAGUGCUUAAAAACUGAAAACUGAAGCACCACAUUAAGAGCUGCUAAGUGUAGCAUAAAAAGUAACAAUACAUGGAUGAGAAAACGGAGUUGUUGAAUAGAAAUUUAAGCCAUAUGAAAAUACACAGAGGACAAUAAUAAAAAAAAACUGUUGCAAUUACAUUGAAGCGCAAAAGCUGAUGUUCUAAGCUACUCUCAGCAAAUUAGGACCUACAUGACCUUAUGGUUUGGCUAGCAAAUUUACCUGCAACAUUUGGACGUUAGAAUUUCAUGACUCAGAAUAAGAGAAAUGAUAAGAAAUAUGAUCACACAUCUGGUAAAGAUGAAACUGUAGGAGCAAAAAAUUUUACCUUCACUAUCCCGGACAUACCGAUCCCGCUCACCUUGUCAGCCUCCAAAGUACGGUUUGCCACAGUUCAGGGAAAGCCAUUGCCAGCUGCAUUUUUAGCAAGUCCCGUAGCUUUGGCCUCUAGCACCUCUCCAGCACCUCUAGCACCUAUGGCACCAAGCAUUUUGCCAUGUUGGCGCCACGUUUACCGGGGACCGCAACCUCGGCGCCACGACUCACGAUGUCGAAACGUGUUGCCCAGGAUUCAAAACCGCAAUAUUUUUCUAGAGAUCUAAAUAUAAAUUUUCUUUAAAAAAGCUAAAAUGUAAAAGGUACGGCGCGGUUGGGCAUGGGAUUGCGGGUGGUGGUAGAGCAUGGACGGACGGGGAUGACUCGAUCGAAUGGAUAGAAUUGUACCACGGCAGAGCGAUCAUAGGAGAAGGUCAGGUUUGCAUCAAGAUUUUUUAUCCUAAUCGUUCUUUUUAGUAGUAGUAGAAGACUUCAUGCUACCGUAUCUUCACAUUUUAUUAUCUCCGCGUCCAUGGCAAACUUUUACUUAGGAUUUGCCCUCAACCAAAAAAAAAACGUUCACUAGGAUAUAGGCGGUUGGUUGGAUCGUAGUUUUGGCUUGGUUGUUUGAAAUCUGUUUCUGCGAACCCCGAUCUCCCGAUUUUAUUAAAAAUAAGUAUGUCUAGUUUUUGGCAAACUAAACGAUCCUAAUUUGUUGUAGCAUGCAUGGCGAACGAGUUUUUUUUUUACAGCCACGUAGAAGACUAUUGCGUUCUGAAAGUAAUUUUUUUUACAACCACUUGGUGUGUGUAGUAGAAGGGGAAUGGAGCGGGGGUAGAUUAAAACCCCGAGCGUUAAACUUUAGUCCCAUAAAUCUUGCCAUCUAGAAGUAUCAAAUAAAAUCUGUUUACAAAAUCUUUUGAACAGAUGAGUACUAAUUCGUGAGACGAAUUUAAUGAGCCUAAUUAAUCUAUGCUACAGUAACCCUUCGUUAAUUAUAAAUUAAUAUAUCUCAUUAGAAACCCUUCGUUAAUUAUAAAUUAAUAUACCUCAUUAGAUUCUUCUCGUGAAUUAGUAUAGAGAUUCUGCAAUUAAUUUUGUAAUUAGAUUUUAUUUAAUAUUUUUAAAUAAGAUUUUUUUGAUGCGGCGGAGCUAAAGUUUAGUUUCAAAAACAAAACACCCUCUAAGUGUUCAAAUAGUAGAAAGACAAAGAGGGGGGUUGGGACGACCACGGGGGACUACUUUUGGUGUCUUUUGCUGUCUUCAGUCCUGCACAUGCGGAUUAGCGAGCCCCGGCGACGAGCAUCUAUGCCAAGUGUACAUCAGCUGAGACAAAGAAACAAAGGAGUGGAAAUUAUUCCACCCUCAAUAAGAUGAGAUAUUGAGAUGCUAAAGGUGCUCAGAUGAGCCAUCAAGUUACAUUUUUCUAAGGCGGUGCUUAAAAAUGUUGAAAUGCCUGCAAACUUUAUGACCAGUGUAAAAUGCGGAUGCAAUUUAUGUCAGCUGUUCCAGCAAACUUUACGACCUGUGUAAAAUGGGCAGAAACGGUCCAUCGAAGCACCUGACAUCUUGACAAGCUGAGAAGAGGAGAAGGGAGAACGGGAUGCACGAACCUGCUUGCUGGCUUGGGAUUUUGUACUCCAACUGAGAUUCAGGUUAGAGACCUGUACAUACCUGCACAACAAAGCUCUCUUCUCGCUCCAACAACACGGAAAGACUGUCAAACUCUUGAAAAUAUGCAGAUUAGGCGCAGGGGCUAAAGUUGCCUUUUGGGUUGACACAUGGACUGAUUUUGGACUACGAUGUGAGAAGAAAAUUGCAUUUCAUGUUUAAGAUUCAAACUAAUUAAUCAGCCACCCGCCCCUUCAGUCAAAUUCUAUCAAAUGUCAUGUGUGUGUGUAUAUAUAUUUGAACGAACAGCACUUGACGAGUGUGUUUCUAUUGAUAUCAAUAGCAGAAAAUUAGAAGAUUAUAUCCCUGAAAGGUCAUAACCAGGCAAAAAAACCACAGAACCAGCACCGGCGGGUUGGAUUGGGGCAUCAACGCACGCCGAACUCAAACACUACUCAACAACUCAGGCUGGUUGGAGCGGGGUAUCAACACAACCCACACAACUCGUCUCCAAAGUCAACUCUGCCCGGUCAGAGAAAACUCCACAUGACAACCACAGCAGAAACCGGAGCUCGCAGCACCCACCAAAAUAUCCACACUCACGUAGUCGCACAGAACCUCCAGACGUGACCCUGCGUCAAUAGGGAACCGAAAGAUGCAGACCGCACCGCACCAGGAAGAUCACCGCCAUGCGAAACCCUCUGCCGCUGUGCCGCUGCAACACCACCCUCCACUUGAUGGAGUGCUAGAAGGCUGCCUUGCAGUCGCCACCACAAUAACACAACGCGCGGGGGCCUCGCCACUUCCGCCGUUGGACCUCACUCUCGUCGCCUCGAAGAAUCACCACGCACGGGGGUCUCGCCAUGCCCGCCACAGUUCUGUUUCUUUUGUUGCCAUCAAAGUGGUGAGCGAUGUUGCCCCUGGUCCCUAGAUCUCCAUCAAUGCCGAGCCACCGCCACAGGCCGACCUCACCUACAUGGUUCACCCGCGCACAUGACCUCCACCGCCGUGCCAGCAAGCCGAAGACAUCGCUUGCAGUAUCUUCCGACGAUGUACCAUACCGGAAAGCCCAGCCAAGCUGAGCAGCCCACCGCGGUCCGCUACAAGGCAAGUCAUCCCAUGAUGCCGAUGCAGCAAGCACCGUCCUUCGACGCAGUCCCGUGCCCCACUGACAGGUGCCAAGCAACGCCAGUCGCCGUGGUCCGCUUCAAGCAGCCACAACCGAUAGACAUGCGACACCCUUCGGCCGCCACCAUGACUGCGAACGCCAUCACGAGGGCUCGGCAACACCCGUUCAGCUUGCCACACGGCGGAAUAGCCCACCACCCGAUGCCGCCCAUGAACAAUGGACCAGAAAUACCUCAAGCCAGAUGAAUCUCUAGAGACGACGCCUCCAAAGAGGACACGAUGCCAAAAGGCGUCGCCGUCGCUCAUCCAGGAUCUAGAUAGGGUUUUCACCCAAAGAGAGCCAUGCAACAAGGUUUUAGCUCCAAGAUGACGCCCCCAACAGGGAAAGUGACGCCCUAGAGUGCCACCGUCAACUCUACUAGCAAGAAUGCCAGCAAGGGCUUUCGCCCGGAGCAUUCCAACCCCUCGCUACACGCACAUGGCUUGGCACCCCGGACCACAGCCACGGUAGCCCAUCCGGGGCGGCUCCGCCGCUGCGCCUCCAUGCACCAUGGAGCUGACCUCCACCUUCGCUAUGCUCGUCGCUCAGAAGCGCUCGCCACACGCCGCCGUGCUGGCUCGGCCGGAUCGCCCCGCCGGAGCAAGCGAACGCAGUAGGUGGCCUGACGCCCCCAGCCACGCCACCAUGGUGCCGCUAGCAUGCCCACACAGGCCGCCACAAGUCGCCCCUCCAUGGCGCCGCCGGCAAGACCACGCACAGGCCACCCUCAGCCACAGCACUACGCUGCCGCUGGUCCUUCCGCAGUGCCCCCUGCAGCGCGUACCGGACCGCCACUCCCGCUCCUCCUCAGCAUCAGCCCGCCGCACCACCGCCGCUGCCACUCCACUUCUGCCGCGACGGAUCCAGUCCUGCCGCCACCGGAUCUAGCCACGCCGGCCGCCAGAGUAUUGUUCAUGCCUGGCCUCCACCCGCACCGUCGCUCCUGCCUGGCCUCCCGCCGCAGCCGCGCGCCCACCUCGUCGAGGACGGCGCAGCUCCGUAUCCCGCGCGGACCCCCGCUCGCGCGGCCUCCUCGCCAAGCCCCUGCACGCCGGGCCUCGUCGCCCACGCUCGCACGCACACGACGCCUCCGCGCCAGCACUCGGCUCCCGCUUGACGCUGUUGCCGCCGCCCCCGUCGGCGGAUUCGGCCACGGGGACACCGGAUCCGCGCUCGCUGGCGCCGGAUCUGGCCACCCACGCUGAUGCCGCCACAAGCUGCCCUCUCUAACGGCCGAGGUGGCCGUGCCCGCCUGGACGCGUGGGAGAAGAGCGCCACCCCGCCGCCGCCAUCCUUGCGAGCCGCACGGACUUUUGGCCGCUGGUUCGAGUGGUGGCGCAGCGGAGGGAAGCGAGGGAGGAAAGGGCGGCGGUGGCGGCGUUCCGCCUGCCCGUGUCGCCCAAGCGGGGGAAUAAUCAUGAGCUCUUUUCAAAUUUGUAUAUGCACCCCAUGCAUGUCAUGUAUAUAUGGCUUGCUGGCUUUUCCCAUCCCAUGUCAAUCAUUCAUCCACUAGCAGUCUAGCACUAAUUCAAGCAUUGUAAGACUUUUUUUUAGGCCUGAAUCUCGUCUCGUGGGAGAUAACGGUGAGGUGGAAACGAGCUUUACCACUGGAACACCCGCGCCGCCGAUGGCAGCAGCAUCGCCGCCAUCUCCCACCCUCUCUAUGUCUUGUGCGCUCGCCUGACGGACUCGCGGUCGAUUUUGGGAGACGGAAGGUGCCCGGCCCAUAUUCAUUCCGGAUUCGAAGCCUGGUGCGUGUGUGAAUUGGCGGGCCGCUCAGUCCCUCUUCUUCUCUCCUCUGCUGGACUGACGCCAGAUCGAGCCCAACAGGCCGAGGCCCAACCGGAGUCACUCUGCUAUCGCUGACUAGUGGGACCGUGGCUGCCGCUUCGUCUUUCUUCUCCGCCCUUCGCCCUCCCGUGGAGCUGGGGCUCUCCCUCGGCCCUCGCUGCGCUGCUCCUUCACCUCUGCCGCACUGCGUUGGUUGGACGCAGCUUGCGAAGGAGAGGAACACGCUGCGCCGGCCGCCUCCGCAAGCCUACCCUGUAGGCGAUGCAGUUUGUCUGAAUCCUAAUCCGUAAUCCCUCACCCUCCAUGGCCGACGCGCUCUCCACCGGCUUCCGCGGGAGCUUCUGCUACGGCCGACGAGGGAGUUAGGGCCGUGCGUGGCUCGCAGAGGAUGCAGCGCCUAGGGUUGGACAGUGUUCGCCGCCGGCGGCCGGCUGGACGAGCCCGCCGGCGGCCAUGUCCCCCCCACCCCCCAGCCCCAAGUAUUUAUUUCACAAAGGCCCCAACCUCAAUUAUAUAUUUUCAUAAUACCCCUAGUAUUUACAAAUAGACCCCUAAUUUGGAUCGCGAUUCAAAUAUUUACAAAUACCCCCAAUAUAUUUACAAAUGCCCCAUAGUUUGGAUGUGAUUAAUAAUCGCGAUCCGACUAUUUGCAAUUUACCCCCUCAUUCCGGUCACGAAUUCAGCGCUGUCCCUCAUCCAGGAUCCGGCCCGUCCGCCGACGACCUGCCGCCGUUGUCCUCCCACCUUCAGCGCCAUGCCAGCUGAGAGCUUAGAUCCCCUUAUCCACCAGAAGCAUCAAGCCCAGGAUCCAAGCCCUCCCCGCAGCAAGUCCUGGACAUGUCGGGCAUCGGUGCAGAGCGAGCACGUCGAACAGCGACGCGUGCGCUUGAGCUCGCGCAUCCGUCCAUGGCAGCUUGGUCGAUACCGCACAUCCUCUGAUGUUAUGCAACACAGCACGUCCGUGAUGAUGCUGAUCUCUGUCCAUGUAAGCUAAAUUUCUCUCCUCUCGCCGUCGCCGCUUGUGUUGUUUGUUUCUGACGAAACGUACGACACUUAUGGAUUAGCUUUGAUCCAGCGUUGUCAACUACUACGUACCUGCAAUUCAUUUCUUCAUAUAUUUGCCUCAGCCUAUGCUGGUCCAGCCCUCUUUGUAUCCUUUUACCAUGCGAAAGUAGCAAUCGCAUUACCUCCACCAUAUCAAACUUUGACAAACCUGCCUAGUGUUCUGAAUUCUGCUAUUUCUUUGAAGCGAUUUCUUUGACAAACUUUGAUCUUCUGAACAUCGUCAAAUUCAAUGUAUGGCGGUACGCUCCCUCACAAUUGCAACAGUAUGGUUGCUAUUUCUUUCAUUGCACAUGGUUAAGCUGCUCUGAAGCUGGCAUACUUUGUUCAAUUUCCCCAAAUUCAGACUGAAUCCACCACAGCUAAACAUCUGAAAUAAUUCGGAUCAGAGAGUUGCAACCAACAGGUGUCAUUUUGAUGGGCAAGGUUGUUUCUGAAGAAAGUUCCAGUUGUAUGGGUGUUAUCCCUUCUGAUCUUUCUGUGGCUCUACUGCAGGCACGCCGAGGGCAGAAGUAUGUAGGGGAAGAGACUGGCAGCCGCUGCUCUGUAGAGGUACUGCAUGCUCCUCAUGCUGUCUGGGGAGCAUUAGGUGGCUGGGCUUCCGGUGAGAUGACAACGGCCGAUGAUCCUCCCUGCUUGGAGCUGGAGCUCGAGCAGGGGCGGGCGAUGCUUCCCAUGGCCUUGGCCCGCUCCGGGAGCGUGAACUUCUGCACCUUCCCCGUCGCCAUCUUGGGCAGCUCGGCCACGAACACCAUCGUCCGUGGCGCCAUGUAGUGCGGCAGCCGCGCCCGGCAGAAGUCCAUCUCCUCCUCCGCGCCCACGCUGUCGCCGGCGCCGCCUUGAGCGUCACGAACGCGCACGGCGUCUCGCCCCAGUACUCGUCGGCCCGCCCCACCACCGCCGCCUCCGCAACGGCCGGGUGCGCAAACAGCGCCGCUUCCACCUCGAUCGUGCUGAUGUUCUCCCCACCCGAGAUGAUGAUGUCCUUGGACCGGUCCAGGAUCUUCACGUACCCAUCGCCGUGCCUCACCGCCAGGUUGCCCGACCGCAGCCACCCGCCGGCCAUCGCCUCCGCCGUCGCCGCGGCAUCCUUGUAGUACCCGCUCAUCACCGUGUUGCCCCGGAACAUCACCUCCCCCAUGGUGCGCCCGUCCGCCGGCACGCUCCGCAUGGUCACGGGGUCCUUCGCGUCCACCUCCAGCCCCUGGUGGUGGAGCCCCUUGCGGGACUUGAACUCCGCGCGCUCCGCCGCCGGCAGCGCGUCCCACUCCGGCUUCCACGUGCACACCGUCGCCGAGCCGUACGUCUCCGUCAGGCCGUACGAAUGGAUCACCACGAACCCGAGCUCCUCCAUCCGGAACAGCACCUCCGGCGGCGGCGGCGCGCCGCCUGUCUCGAAUGUGACCCGCCUCCCUCCGGGCAGCGGGCGCCGCUCCUCCGCCGUGGCGUUCACGAUCAUGCUCAGCACCGUCGGCGCGCCGCCCAUGUGGGUCACCCCGUGCCGCGCCAGGCUAUCGAAGAUGGCCGCCGGGGACCCCUUGCGCAGGCAGACGUUGGUGCCGCCCUGCGCCGCCACGCCCCAGACGACGCACCAGCCGUUGCAGUGGAACAUGGGCACGGUCCACAGGUACACGGGCGUCGCCGUCAUGUCGUUCAGGAGCACGCACGCGAGGGCUUUGAGGUACGCGCCGCGGUGGCUGUACUGUACACCACGCCCUUGGGCCGCGACGUCGUCCCCGACGUGUAGUUCAGCGCGAUCGGCUCGUUCUCGUCGGCCGGCCACCGGAUGGCGAAGUCCGGCGAGCCGCCGCCAGUGCUGCACAGGAGGGACUCGUACUCGAGGUACGGGUGACCAGCUGGAACGGUUGGCUCGUCGAGGACCUCUCUGAUCAGCACCACAGUGGGGGGCCUUGCUCCAGCUUCGGACAUGAGCCGGAGUGCUUCUCGGGCGGUGUCAAGCAGCGCGUAGUCGACGAACACCACCUUGGCCUUGGAGUGAUGGAGGAGUACGGACGCCAUGCCGGCGUCGAGGCGCGAGUUGAGCGCGCAGAUCACGCCGCCGGCCACGGGGAUGCCGAAAUAGAGCUCGCAGAACGCAGGAAUGUUCUGCGCGAAUACAGAAACCUGCAAAACAACGACACUCACAGUUGCCACUUGCCAGUGAUUCGUACAGGUGGAGGUGGAGCGUGUCGAAAAAUGCCAGCUGAAGCGACGUGGCUUGUUUCAAAAAAAAAAACAAGAAGAAGCGACGUGGCAGGCACAAGAUUUUACCACAUCGUGGCGCUCGACGCCGAGCCCGGCAAGGGUGGCGGCGAGGCGGAGGCAGCGAGCCCGGGUCUCCCGCCAGUUGCGCGGCGGCGCGGCGGCGGGGCGGUCGGGGUAGACGAGCGCGGCGCGCUCGAGGAAGCUGAUGGGCGCGAGCGGCGCGUGGUUGGCGAUGCACAGUACGGUGCCAUCCAUCGCCUCCGGCGAGGGCCUGGGGUUCGGAUCGGAGGAUCUGAUAGACUGUAGGGAUAGAGCGAGCGUUGGUCAAAGAUUUCCUUUCGCAAUAUAUCGAGUGGCGCAGCGACGGAGACGACGACGUGUGAAUGUGAUGAUGGCCGAGCACUCGAGCUGAAGCUGAUGCUGAUAGGGUCUCAUCUUAACACACAUGUUCCAUGUCUCCUCCCCAAGAAAACACAUGUUUCAUGAGGACGAAAAGGCCGGCCAAUGCGAGCUUUCCCGAUCCCUGAACUCUCUGGAGGCGGUGCGUGGCUUGCUGGUUGCUAGCGUUCUAGUCACGAGACUCGCUUAUCCAGUGGCCUCGCCCUCGCCGCUGCUGUUGGGGGGAAUGCGGCGCUGACACCCGCGCGCGCCGGAUGGCAUGGCGCUAUCACCGCCGUUCCGUGUGCUGCUGCUGCUGCUACUCGUCCAGCGUGCCAUCCCCCACUAUGGGCGGUGUCCGCGCGCGCCAUUCCUGAUGGGGCAUGUCAAGUGGCGUAGCUCGCCCAACAUUUUAGGUGGGGCAGAGGAAACUGUAACCAGAGCCAACACUCAAACUUGCUCUUGCACCCCGUCAAUAGCUGCUACCUGAGCUGGCCGCGCCGCUCCACAUCCUUGGCCGUGCCAAGCCCAACUGCCCAAGCAGGAGCAUGCAUGCUGCCGCCGGUGCCCCUUUGCAGCCUUGCUCUUCCACCUCCUCCUCCAUGAAUUGAACGCAGGCUCGUCGCUCGGCCAAGACCGGCGAACGGCGCCGCGGCCGCGCAGCUGCAUGCCAUGGCUGCGGUUAGGGUUUGGCGGCGGCGCCCGUCGGGGUCGGCCGGAUGGGAGGCCGGGAGGGGUGGCGUUCGAUUCGACUGGAGUACGAAGCAGCGAGCGGUGGGUAAAAAACGAAUGAAUUUGAUGUUGCGGUGGGCCAAAAAUUAAUUGGGCCAUCUAUUUGGACCCGAGAACACACCCGCUUGCAACCCAAAACAAACUCAUCUUCCUCCUGCAGUCCUCCAGCCAUCAGACUGCUCUGUUCGCCGCCUCCGACCUCCAGUUCGCCGUUCCUCCGCCCUGAACGCCUCCACCGGUAGCUGGGGCAGCUGCCCCACCCUGCGGUAUGGGGAGCUACGCCUCUGCGAUGUGCCGCGUGAUCCCAGCGCCAGGAGACUUUGCGGUCGACCUCCCACGCGGACACGGCAGGCGGAUCGAUACGGGACGCCGCUGGUGGUGGUGGUGGAGAGGUAGGAGUAGGACCCUAUCGCUCGUAUGCGCCGAUCCCCCUCGGAUCGGAUGGAGGAGAAGGACGCCGUGAUCGGAUCCCACUCGCAAGCGCCUUCUCGCUGCAAGUCUUUCCUCUGGUUGGUACACCAUAGCAGGCUAAACACCAACGCUUGCCCCUUCUGCGGACAGCGAGAGGAUGUUCUGCACCUCUUUCUCGGCUGCCAGCGUGCUCAGAGUUUCUGGAACUCUAUUGGUGUCACUUCUACUCUCUUGCAGGUUGAGCUACUGUAGAAAUUUGAUCUGCCUGACCCGAGUUGUUCCUGUGAGAAGAUACGCUCUACUGUUCUUACAGGAUUUCUGUAGAACGUUUGGAGAUGCAGAAAUGCCAAAGUCUUCAAUCAAGUCCUUGCAUGAUGUGAUUCUUGGCCGAUGCUCCUCAGACCUUCUCCUUUGGAGGAACAGAGUGACUACCCCUGUGGAUAAACUUUUUUUUUGAAAGGCCUGUGGAUAAACUUUGUUUAGAACAAUGGAGUGUUUUCCUGUCAUGUAAUCUGUAAUCCCUCUCUUGACGUGCCCUUUUUCUCCGGUCUGGCCUUUGGGCCUGCUUUUCUCGGUACUUUUGAGCAGGAUUCGUCUUUGUAAUCUUUGGCGUUCUUGCCCCUAUUUCAAGGUGAAAUGGUGAUUUUGUCCCUACUUUUUGUACUAUGCGAAUUUAUCCCUAUUUUUUUAAAUGAAGGAAGGGUUUUUUCCUAUUCCGUAAAAACUAGUUAACGGUGUUAAAAUUGUUUUGAAAAGAUCAAUUUGCACUUGCGGAUUUGCCCUACUAUUAUGUGAAUUUGGUGAUUUCACCCUUAUUUUAAAUAAAAGAGGUAAAAAGAAUUCUCUUAAGAAAAUUCAAACCAGAUUUUUAUAACUUUCAAACAUGAUCAGAUAAAUUUUUUAAAAUUUUGGCAGCAACAUGACGCAACAUGCAUUUAAUUUCUAGUGCACAUAACUUGCAUAUGACGAGUUUUAUCUAUACUCGUAUGUAGCUAUUCUCACUAUCAGAAUACCAUCAUGCGUAUGUUCACAUACUCAUUUAUCACUUUGAGUAUGUUUAUAUACUUAUUCUAAGUUACUUCAAAGGGAUAUAUACGAAAAAUUUCAAAAGCAUUCCUAUUUUUUAAAUAUAUAUUAUUAUACCUUAGUACUAGUAUAUACCAUCACAGAUGGUCUAGUAUGAUCACAUAAACCUUGUACAUACUUUUCAUUGGGUCAGAGACGUCCUAUAUUAUGAGAUACACAUGUAGAAGUAGCUACAAUGUAGGAGAUACACAUGUAGGAGAUACACAUGUAGGAGAUACAUCAUGAUGUAGGACGUACUGACCCAAUGAAAGAUAUGUACGAGGUGUAUGUGAUCAUACUAGACCAUCUUUGAUGGUAUAUACUUUAAAUAUGUGACCAUACAUGGAGUAAAUGGACAUACUUAUUUUUAUAUACUAGUACUAAUAUAUAAUCAUGAUAUAUUUAAAAAAUAGGGAUGCUUUUGAAACUUUUCGUACAUAUCCCUUUGAAGUAUCUUAAAAUUAGUAUAUGAACAUACUCAAAGUAAUAAAUGAGUAUGUGAACAUACGCACGAUGGUAUACUGAUAGUGAUAGUAGCUACAAGCGAGUGUAGAUAAAAUUUAUCAUAUAUAUAUAUAUAUAUAUAUAUAUCCAACAAAAGCACGAUAGCAUAUAUAUAUAUAUAUAUUUUCACCAAAGGCAGCAGAUCACAUUCCAUCAUAUCCAAAUAAGGGUACUAUCAUGUCCAGAUCAUAUUCCCACAUGCAAGUCCAACAAAAACAAAGUAGUAGAGAGCUUAUACAAAUCAAAUGGCAAACAUCACAUUUAAGAAUCUAUACUUAACAAUACGGCCAAACUCCCUGUCCUUCCUUCUCUUCCUCUUGCUCUUCCUCCUCCCUUCCCCCUUCCUAUUCUACUUGCUCUUGCUCCUACUCUUCCCCUUCCUUUUCCUCAUCCUCUUGCAGCACUUGCACUUCAAGGUAGUAAAAUUGUGUUAGUGAUCAAGUUGAUAGUAAAUCAAAGAAUAAAGGGAUCUUAAUAUGCAAAAAAAGUGUGCUAAUCCACCACUCACUUUGAUGUUUGUGGUACACUUGGUCACUACUCUCCUCUUCUAGUCCAUUUUGUGAAGAUGAGAGUUUUCUCUGACUAGCAGUGGGACCUCCCUGACAAUGCUUAGCUGUAUGGCCUAGCUCAUGGCACUCAGAACAUGUCUUCAUAGCUGCUAUUCACUUGCUGCCACAAGUGAAUGUGUGUUAGAGUACAUGGCCUCCUCAUCAACACCUACACUCUCAUAUGUGGCUCUCUUCUUUUUGGAUGUGGAAGUGCGCCUCACAUUUAUGGCUGUAUUAUUUCUAGCUCUCUUAAUUGUGGGUGCUCUAUUUCUUACAGAAGGGUGACACCUACGUUUCGUUGGUGAAUGUUGCAAUGGACCCUCAAAAUCAUUUAUCUGGGCAAAAUAUGAACUAUUCCUUUGUCUACAUUUAUCUGGGCAAAGUUUUAACUUGCAGCCAUGACUUGGACCCCCCAUCUGGUAAGCUGAAAAAAGACCGAACUCUAACAACCAAUUGCAUAUCUCUAUGAUUUAACCUACAAAUCACAACACCGAAUAUAAAAUUUGCUAAAUCUCUCUCUAGAGGCUAUAUCUAAUUCACCCUAUAAACCGAUUUCAAUCAAAAUCUACAGAAAAAUAGAGAAAUCAUGAGCUUACCUUGAUUUUUCCAUGUUGAGCAGGUCUAGACAGCCGUUAGCCCGUGCCGAGGAAGCCACGUGAGCAGAGUCGGGUUGCUGCAACGCCUGGGCGGCCGUGCCGACGCGCGCCCACACCCGUGCCUGGGCCGCCGCGAGCUUUUGUGUGUGGAGCGGCGCGCGCCUGCACCCUGUUGCCACACGCGCCCGCGUGUGCGCCCCCGCCCAUGUGCGCCAGUCACGCACCCUUCCCGCGCACCCCCGCCCGAGCACGCCUGGUGCCGCUGCCUCCGCCUGCUAUACCCUGCGUUAUGGUUCCAAUGGAGAUCUCUGGAACGCAGAGUUUGGGGAUGAGAAAGGAGAGAGCUCUUAGAUAGAGUUAAGGGUACUACCAUCUUUUCCAUUACUCUAAAUUUUUCUUCAAUUUAUUUUUAUUUUUUCAGUGGGCCCCAACUAGCAGAGUUAAAACCAGGGCUAAACGGUGCCUUCAUUUUAAGCUAACCAGCGACAUAUAAAAGAAAACAGAGGGAGUAAUAAAAAUUUAUGAAUCUUUCUAAGGAAAUCCAUUGUUGGUUAUUAAUGAGCCUUGCUUUGGUUAUUUGUGAGCCCUGCUUUCCUUUAGUUGUCUCCCAAGCAACAACAAAUUAUUUACAUUAACUCCCAUAUCAUGGAUCUUCUUACCUAUCAGUCCAUCCGCAAUUGCCUUCCUAUGGAGUACUUCUCAUCAGCACAAAAUGCCUAAUUUGUGGCAAGGCAAUGGGCUGGGUUGUUUUGUAACCACGUGUUUAUUUUUCACUCAUCUAAUCAAUUAAAUAAAAGAGGUGAGUGCACUAGAUGGCAUAUUACAUAUUCAUUGCUUUGUUGGAUCAUUCACCUUUGUGUCUUUUGCAAUCAACCUUUAUCACAUAAAUCUGUUUCUUCACAUGUGUGAUGAACUUAUUUCUAAUGCCAAAUGCAUGAACACUUGGCAUAUUUCCUUAAUUUAUCUAUCCAAAAUAACCCAACAAUGGUUGCACAUCACCUAUCUAUCAUAUACGUGUGUUACUAACGUUUUCUUAUGGAUGUGUUGAUGCUUUUUAUUAAUGGAUCAAGAUUGCUUUAAGUAGAAAGGAAUUGGCAUGUCAUAUAUUUAUCCCUUCGUUGGAUUCUUCACCUUUACGUCCAUUGUAAACAUCCUUUAUCAUAUAAAUUCAUGUAUUAAAGUGUGCAACACACUUAUUGCUCAUGUCAAAUACACGCAUGUCUUUCGUAUUCCAUUUGAUUUACUUAUCCAAAUGAAGUAAGCAAUGGUACACGUAUUGAUGACUAGAUGACACAUCACAUAUGUGUCAUCUUUUGUUGCUAACUUUUUAUUUGGCAUAUUGUGUUUAUGCUUUCAUUUAUGGAUUAGUUGUGUCCCUAUAAAUAGACAAUCAUAUGUGAUCCCUUCUCAUGAAAUUAAGGUAGUCAGACAUCAAGUUCUUCUCUCUUUUUUUAGAAAAAAAGACUUUGAAGGUUUGCAAGUGUAGAAAGAUUAUGUCUGGCUUGGGCCAUAGAAGACAACCUUCUGUAAUUCCGGAGGAUGCCGCCAUUCUACAGUUCGAGGAGGUCAUCAUGGUGGAUGACACCAUAACUGAAAGCCAGAAAAGGUCACCAAAAGAUGAUACACCUUAUGUUGGCACUGCUAAAAAGGUAAACAAUAAGAGCAUCUUGGUUGAUGUGAAGGGAACAAAUGAUAAGGAUGGAGUCAAGGAUCUGGCAGCACAAGUGAAAACUACUCUUGAAAUUAAGGACAUUUAAGGGAAGAAAAGCAAAACCCUCUACCUCUAGCAAUAAGCUAAAAAAGGGCAUGGGUGUGUGCGCGUGAGUGUAUGUACAUGUGUUCAUGUUUCACAUGAACUGAAUAAAGUGUGUAUCCUAUUACAACUAUGUUAGUUAUUUCCCGCUAUCAAUAUGAUAUAUUUUCAUCGUGCUAUCAAGCCUCUCUAGAGACUAUUAAAUUGUUAUUUUAUAUAUGACUAAUAUCUUUAGAUAGAGGACAUGCUGAACUAUAGCUCUUGAGAAUAACUAUGCAACCACGCAAAUGCAACAUAAUACCAGUUAUGGACUUCUUUUGGAGGAGGGGAUGUUGCAAAGGUUGGAAUUGUUGAAGGUGGUAGUGGGGAGGGGGCGCAAAAUGGGAGGGGGGAUUCUAUUAGAAAUUUCUAUAGGAGGUACACUUAAUUGUUUGUAUCAAGUAGUCAAGCGAACUAAUGAGCCACGAGCUUUUUGUCCAAUCCUAGUUCUAUAAGAAAUUCAUGUUGGAGGUACACUUAGUUGUUUUGUUGCGAUUUAGUCAUCAAAUUGAGUAUAGAAGUAUUAUGAGUCCUCAUGUUGUCUUUUUUAUAUCUAGUUGUUAUUUUAUUUUUCACACAUUUAUUUGGCCACGGAUGAAAUCUUCUUCCUUCAUUGAAGGAGCAAAAUAGCAAACAUGUUUAAAAUUAUUUUGGUGUGCAAGAAGCUGUCUGAACUAUGAUCCUGUCACUGCAAGUGAAAUUGAAAUGAUCCUCUCACUAUAAAUUGAAGUAAAAAAUAAGCAGAAGUAAAUGAUUAUAUAUAGCUUACCAAAUAAAUCGAAUUCAUUGCACCGUAACUUACUUUUGUCAUGCUGUUUAUUUUUACUAGAUUCAUAUGUUAUACUAGAAAUUUUACUAAAUAAGUGGUGUUAUCAUUGUUAACAUGUUUCUAUUAUAUCAAAAUCUUUGCAUUUUAGAAUUUAACAAGAAGAGAUGCUUGCCUUUGCUAAUAGGUUCUUUGUGAAUACCGAGACCUUUGUAUUUGAAUCGCUAACAGGAGAUCUAACAAUGGUAUGAUUUGUAUUGUGAUUGUCAAUAUAUAGACACAUAUAACUUAGACAACUAAUCACACGUAACACAUUUAGCUCCUAUGCACCCAAAGAAGCUGAAAGACUUAAGUACUAUGGUAUUUUUCAAACUGGCUUAGCUCAUUUCGGUUUCAAGUCCAAUGGAAACAACCACAGUAUCAUUACGUACCAGAGAAGAAGGGAAGUAAGGAGAUAGCUCACAAAAGCAGUCAGUACAUCAUCUAAAACAUAAACCAUCCAUAUGUUUUCAAAAUAAAAGGUAACGAGCAAAGAUAUCAGCCAAAUAGCUAUGACCGAGAAAUAAUAGGUGCUAAGUUACUUAACUUUUAAAUUUCAAUGAACGGUAUUUAGUGUGUUUAUUUUUGAGUUCUCGCCUUCUAGAAGGCUUUGAAGGAAGAGCAACUCAAGACGAUGGAGAAAGUUACGAGCCAGUAUGGUCCAAAAUAACAAUGGACUAAUUUGGGUCGUGGUACUCUCUAGUGAGAACAUUUCUCGAUCAACUAAUUAACCGUGGUUGGACGUAGUUCUGGUUCAUUUCUCCUAAACAUUUUAGUUUACUUUAUCAAAUUUUUGGAAUAGGAAUUGCAUUCCUACGCAUCACAUUUGCUGCAUCCAUUCCUAUCUUCCCAUUCCCAUUCCCGGUUUUUUAGAACCAUUCCUAUUCCCUUUUCCGUCCCAGGAGAAGACGGCGUCGUCGCUCGCCUCGGUGUCCAGGCCAAAGCCAAAUAAACGGCGUGACGAGAGGCGAGAGCGCAGCGCCCCCCCGCGGCCAGGCCACCGCACCGCGUCGUCGUCGUCCCCAGCCAACCCAACCCAGCGCAACCCCCAAAACGAAUCCAACCCCACCUCAGCCGCAGCGCGGCGCGGCGCGGAGGCCCCUCCCCGGAAUCCCAGCGCCGGUGCGCGCACGGCACCCGCAGGGCGCGGCGCGGCCAUGGACAUGGACAGCGUGGAGUGCCUCUCCCUCCCGGACGCCGCCAUGGACGUGGACGACGUCGACACCCACCCGCACCACGGGCACCACGCCCACCUCGGCCUCCCGCUCCACCCCGCCCACCUGCCCUCCGCCGGGGCCGGCCGCGCGUUCCCCAAGGUGAAUGCGGGGGCCGGGGCGGCGGCGGCGGCUGCUGCUGCUGCCGCGGCCGCGGCUGGGGCAGCGGCCGCGGCAGGAGCGGGCGGGGGCCCGCCGGCGACCAGCGUGCACGAGCUGCUGGAGUGCCCUGUCUGCACCAACUCCAUGUUCCCGCCCAUCCAUCAGGUGGGUACCUCGCUCCGGCUUCUUCGAUUUCAGAUGGGUUGCGUGCGGAUUUGGGGAUCUCGGUGGGGGAAGCCGAGAUCUCGACGGACGCGUCGAAUCAAAUUGGCCCAUUCUUGCCGGAUUGCCGUGCGUCGAAUUGGGGAUUUUUUUGCUCGCUGAAAGACUGGGUCAUUUAGCUGCGAAUUAAUUGCCAUUAAGAGGAGUAAUUGGACGCGUUUGGAUUAGUCAACUGUAAAACCAUCUGCGAAUUGGGGCUUUCCUUGUCAGACGAUUUGGUCACUUUCGUUAGAUUUGAAAAAGGAACCGUGUGUGACACUUUGGAUCUGGGUUGGACGCGUUUUGCUACACGGAUUCUCUCGCCAAACGGGUGUAUUUGGAUUUUUCGAGGAUACAAACAUUGCAUUUGUUGUUUUCCCUAGCUGCAAAUACUUUGGAAUGGUGGGGAACAAAAUGUCGAGAUGCUUAUUUGUUGCUUCGCGGUCUCUUCUUGCCCUCUUAUUGUUAGUAAUCUAAAAUGUACUGGGAUGCUGUCGUUUUUUCUAGCCUAACAUGGAAUUGUGAUACUACUGCUGAACACAAAUAAUCUCGAUUAUGACCUUCUGAAUUGUUGAGAACAUCAUUUUGAUGGAGCAGGAGAUGAACUAGAAGAGAACAUCAGUACACUUCUGUCUGAGAACCCAAAUGUCAUGAUAAUCCAUCUAUCAUGCUUGAUAUGGUCUGGGAUGACCUUACCUUUGAGCUCUGUCAACAAGACUCACUCGUUAAUGUGCUGAGCCUUGAUUUUAUUUGUUUGUAUUGAUUGGUUAGCUGAUCUGCUAUUAUUUUUGCAGAAAUAGCUGUUGUAAAUUUGUAGCUACUUUUCCAUUCUUUCUAGCUUUGUCCCCAUUGAGUUUAGUGAUGAAGAAAUUGCAGCUGAGCUAAAUGGGAGGGAGAGAAGUUGCUUCUCUGUGUACGUUUUCAGAGACAUAUUCGUUUGAUUGUCCAUAAAUUGUGCACUGGAUUCAUCUUCUUAUGUGAGACUGUGUACUGAAAAGAUUUGUUGAAGGCAGUUAAGUCUAACAUGUUUGAGUAAACACAUGAAAAUCUGCAGCCCCUGUACCCCACAUAGCGGUGGAACUUUCUAGGGUCCACCAUGAAAAAACAUGUCAAACAAGCAGUAGGAUACAGUAGGUGUCACCCAUGUAGUAUACGUUGUCCCCUCUGUUAUUUUGCUAAAUUUAAUUUUAUAUGCAUAUCAGUACAUAAGUUUAUGUUUCAACCUCUACAGGUGCCUUGCAUAUGAUCAUAGUCAUUAUAAUUACUGUUUUAGUAUGUGUAGCACUAGAAUGUAAAUUCAGACAAGGGAUAGGUAAUUCCUCCUCUUUUAGAAAAAAAACUGGUUAUUUGAUGUUUCUGGUUGUCGUGAAUGGGCCUGCAUAACUGUUGCUGUAUGUGUUGUUUACUUUUGGGUUAGGGCAUUAGAUUUAUUACCUAACCGUUAGUUCAUACAUAUGAGCUCUGUUUGGACAUGAGCUGACAUGUUUGGGGAUGUAUGCAUAUGUUUGAACAUUAGGUUGACAUUCUUUUUGGACGUUUGAUUUGAAGACCUGCAGUAUGGCCAAGUGUUCUUGUCUAUUGACAAAGUAAACUACAUUUUAUUUCUGUAGUCUAUUUUUGACACUCUUGUGAUUCAGAACAAGAAAAUAGAAAUUUGUUCAGCUUCAUGGGACAGAAAUAGGACACGAUGGGGAUGAAUAGAUAUGCAUCUGGAAUGAGAGUUAGGUUAAGUUUGUACUCUUACUGUCAGGUUUUCUUAUGGUUAUCAAAACAGUGGGAUUGCCUCCAUUUCGGGCCAAACAAAAAACCUUGAUGAAGUGAAUAUGAAUGGAUGUGUCCAUUCUAAUCUCCUCUAAUGUGGCAUGACUGCAUGAGCAUUUCCUUGACCCGCAGUUGUUUAAAACAUGAUUCAGUGACCCACGCAAAAUUUAGUGUAUUGAAUUGAUACUUAUAGUUGAGAAACAUCAAUCGUUUCUUUUGUAUCUGUCAACAUAACAUUUUCUUGUAUUCUGUUUUGCAUAUAGUGGCAGCCUAGGUGAGACCUUUACUUCUGUAAACUGGCUACAGAUGUUCUAGUUUCAAGGAGACCGAAAAUAAACUCUGUAUAGUUUGGCAUGCUGUCAGUUCUUAAGAUUUACUAUAUCUUUGUUAGGAAUAGUUGUCAGGCUACGUCAGUUGUCAGCCUAAGUAAAUACGUCUUUGUUAAGAUGUAGGGGUAGCUGUCUGACUAUCUCAUUUUCACUUGGAUGGAAUUAUAUAAGCCUGCUGGCAGGCUGUGCAGCUGCAGUUUUAGAUAGUAUAUUUUAGUACUUGAAUGUUUAGUUAGAGAGUUGCUCUACAGAUAAGUUUCGAUUCUUUUCCUAGGAUGUUUGCCUGUCUCUAUUAAAGACAAGGUAAAUUGCUUUGAGAAGCAUGAAGGAAGUUAUCUUUCUACCUUAUUUGUCUCCUCCCCUCCUUGUGCACCUCAUCCACUGGCUUCUUUGCACAAUGCACACCACCACCUUCCACCAGGGCACCACUGCACGGGAGACCCUACAGUAUCCACACUUCUUAGCUUUGUUCAGAUCCAAUAAAGUCGGAGCUGGCCAUUGCCAGUUUUCCUUUUUGAAUCUUCAGGGUUUUAUUUUGUAAAAUGUAGGUCUAUGAAAACCAGUUUCCUGUAUGGCUGUACAUGCUAUUUUUGUUAUAUUUUGUAGGUGAAUACAAUGAAAAGUAUAAAGUACAGACAAACAAUGUGGAAUUACUCUUGUGCAGGGUGAUUUCCAAUAAGCUAGGCAAGCAGAGAGGUGUCACCUACUGCUUAGUCCUUAAUUGCCGCAUGGGUGUACUAGUUGGCUAUUAAGCGCUCUGUAGGCACCUUUUCAAACAGCGUUGUAUUUAUGUAACCUGUGCUGUUUGUUCUAUGGUGAAUGUUGGUUAUCCUCUGAAAAUGUGGAAGCACUACAAUUCAGAAGAGACAUUCCAGUUAUUUUCUGAUGCUAGAUGCAUAUGUAAUACAUUAAUAGAACAGCUCUAUUUUUGUGGCGCUAAAAGAGAUCAUUCAUCAAAUACAUCUGUUCAGUAGAGUAAUUUGAUAUUUGACAUGUAUUUGAUUUUUUUACAGUGCCAAAAUGGACAUACUUUGUGUUCGACGUGCAAGGCCAGGGUGCAUAACCGGUGCCCUACAUGCAGACAAGAGCUUGGUGAUAUCAGAUGCUUGGCACUGGAAAAAGUAGCAGAGUCACUAGAGCUUCCCUGUAAGUACUGCUCUUUAGGUUGCCCCGAGAUCUUCCCAUACUACAGCAAGAUAAAGCAUGAAGCGCAGUGCAGCUUCAGGCCAUAUAAUUGCCCUUAUGCUGGCUCUGAAUGUGCUGUGUCUGGUGAUAUUCCAUUCCUUGUUGCACAUUUGAGGGAUGAUCACAAAGUCGACAUGCACAGUGGCUGCACAUUCAACCAUAGAUAUGUCAAAUCCAACCCACGAGAGGUUGAAAACGCCACAUGGAUGCUAACAGUAAGUAUUAAACUAGCGAGUUAUUCCAUCUCUGAUAUUUACUUUCGUUUUCUGUUCUUUGAUUAAGGAGUAAGGUGUAGAAUAUGUACUCUAAAUUAAUCUGACGUGUUCAAUGUUUCUUUUUCGAUCAGGUAUUCCAUUGUUUUGGGCAGUACUUCUGCCUGCACUUUGAAGCCUUCCAGCUCGGAAUGGCUCCAGUUUAUAUGGCUUUCCUCCGAUUUAUGGGGGAUGAGAAUGAAGCAAGGAACUAUACAUACAGCCUAGAGGUCGGUGGUAACGGUAGGAAAAUGGUAUGGGAAGGCACUCCAAGGAGUAUCCGUGACAGCCAUCGCAAGGUUCGGGACAGCCAUGACGGCCUCAUCAUCCAGAGGAACAUGGCGCUGUUCUUCUCAGGCGGUGAUAGGAAGGAGCUGAAGCUGAGGGUGACUGGCCGGAUCUGGAAAGAGCAGACCAACCCGGACGGAGCCUGCAUUCCGAACCUUUGCAGCUGAGCAAAGGAGACGAUUGAAAAGAGAGAAAAGAUUGUGCUAUUUGGCUGGCUUGUUAUUUCAAAAUUGCCAUGGUGUGUUUUCAUUAUAGUAUGUGGCUGU
rnacentral:lncRNA from 1 species